rnacentral:rRNA from 1 species
UACGAAGGGGGGCUAGCGUUGCUCGGAAUCACUGGGCGUAAAGGGUGCGUAGGCGGGUCUUUUAAGUCAGGGGUGAAAUCCUGGAGCUCAACUCCAGAACUGCCUUUGAUACUGAAGAUCUUGAGUUCGGGAGAGGUGAGUGGAACUGCGAGUGUAGAGGUGAAAUUCGUAGAUAUUCGCAAGAACACCAGUGGCGAAGGCGGCUCUCUGGAACGCAACUGACGCUGAGGCGCGAAAGCGUGGGGAGCAAACAGG